AAUAACGACAGGAAGUAACUCAACCAUUGAUCUUAUCAUUGAACAGAUUUUAUAAGGGCAAAGAAAAUUGGUUUAAACUGCUAAACAAAAAAAAUUCAAAAUGAAAUUGAUUUUGUAAGGUCUGCUUCCAUAGCUUGAAUAGAUACCGCAUCGGAGAAUUCAAUUUUAUUCUUAAGUUUUAAAUUAUCUGAAAGUUUUCAGAACUCAGUGGAAAUAUUUACUCUUAAAACACUGAGUACGGAAGUAUUCAAAAUGUCUGGAUAUUUCGUACAAGCGAACAAUUAGCAAUGAGACUGCCACAAUUACAUGGGUAAUACCUGGUAUUGUCUACUGUGGCAGAUGACGGUAUCAUUGCGAUUUUUCUGUUGGUUAGUAGUAGCCGGUACUAGAAAGAAUAAAUGUGGAUUAUGGAGAUAAAAAUAAUAGUAAGUAGGAGUUGCCUUUUAUUUCAACCGCUUUACUUGUAUUCAAAGGCUAUCGAAUCAUUUGAAUUCAUUGCUCCAUGUAUUGGAUACUAUUGUCUGCUAUGACAUAUCCUCGCCCACAUCUCUGUAGAAUAAUGAAUCUGUAGAAGCUCUAGACACGAAUUCUAUCAACAAUUAUAUAGAUGGCUUGGAAGAUGUUUUUUCAACGAUUCCAAAGAGAUUGGUAAGUUGCAAGAAUUUUUAUUAAAAUGAAUAUAGUUUAUAUUCUUUUGCUUAUUAAAUAACCUAUUUUACGAAUAUAUUUUAUUAAGCGUUUGCUUAGAAUAGGUGUAGAUCUGACAUUUUUCUGACUAAAAGCGUACCAUUCGCCACCAUAAGCGAAACCGCUCUUUCGGUUCCACAUAUUCUGAAAUGUCCAAUUACGAUGGAUGCUGUGAAAUACUCGGAGACAACAUCGAAAUAUUAAAAUCCAAGUAUAAUCUGCUCUCUUAAUUAUAAUACUAAAAUUUCAAAUAUGAAAUUUUCUAAUAGUUUUAUUUAUUCUUCUAGAAGAUCCAUUUCUAGUAAGCUGCAAGGAGUCAGACUAUAAGUACUUGUAAACAUCUAUCAAAACAAAAGCGGAAUUUCCAGCUAUAUCUCAAUAUAAAAUUCGACGAAAUUUUGAGCAUCUGCCAUUCUGAGAUCACUUCCUGUAUAUGGAAGGGCUGAAAAAAUCAGUCGCCUGAGAAUGGACAUAGCAAGCGACAGCCUUCUGCAAAUCGAUGUUGCCACGCUCUCAAACUUCUUAGGAUGUUGAAACAGAAGAGAUACCCAGAAUGAAAAGCGAAUGUUCUUCAAACUAAACGUGGUUUGUUACUAUAUGAUGGCUUCUUUUUGGAAAGCAGCUGCUAUUCAAAAUAAGAAUCGGUAAAAUGGAAGCGCCUGCCAUUCCGAGAUCAACUUCUGCAAAUAGAGGCUGAAGAAAUUGAUCUUCUGAAAAGGGAGCCAACUUGCGACAGUUUUUUCAAAUCGUCCUCCACAUUCAGAAAAUAUUACCCUACCAAGAUCCUUCUAAAUUAUUGAAAUGGAACAAGUAAUGCUUCCAGCGAUAAUGAAACAAACCAUAAUUACCCGUGAACAACUAUCAAAACAGGAGCUUCAUUUCCAGCUAUUUAUCAAAAUAAGUAUGACUUGGAAAGUGUUGCCUCAAUGAUGCCGAAGCGAUAUCGUAAAGUUGCAAGAAUUUUGAUAAUUGUCAUACCAUAAUGAGUGUCUGUUAAGAACAAGCUUUCAUCGAAGUGAGCAUGGCACAACAAAUAACUUCUGGACCCUUCCUCAAACCUAUAUUGGAAUGCUAAUGCUGGCAAUUGAAUUAUGGACAAUGACUCAAUAUAUCUAUUUCAGCUUGUAAACUGUAGAGGUUGAAGAACUUGAAUAUUAACAAAUGGUUAACAUGAGCAAUGUACACAGUAGAAAUUGAAAUUUCCUCUUGUCUGCAUUAUUUUUGGAAGUAAAUAUAUAUUUGAAAUGUUUGCCACAAAAAUCUCAUUGAAAUAGCAAACGAUUUGAUAAGUCCUUUUUAAGGAUUACAGAAUAUUUACGUUUUUUGGAAUAUGCAAAAAAUCCUUUGUUUCAAACCUGACAAGUUCGAUAUGUUUUCUUAUCGCCCUUGCAUGGAAUUCAAAACACGGGUAUUUGUUGUGUCUGUCAAUGUUUAAUUUCCAAAUGGAUCUUCGCAACUUUUUAUCCGGAUAAUUCUGAUUAUAACUGAAGCAAUAAACUAUUGAUGCUUAUUGAGUUCUUUGAUGCGCAAUGCUAUGCAUUUUUACUUACAUAAACGAUGUUUUAGAAUACAAUCUAGAUCGAAAAAACAAUAUUUUAGAUCUAUUCACCU